UAGGGAAUCUUCCGCAAUGGACGCAAGUCUGACGGAGCAACGCCGCGUGAGUGAAGAAGGAUUUCGGUUCGUAAAACUCUGUUGUUAGAGAAGAACAGCGCAUAGAGUAACUGUUAUGCGUGUGACGGUAUCUAACCAGAAAGCCACGGCUAACUACGUGCCAGCAGCCGCGGUAAUACGUAGGUGGCAAGCGUUGUCCGGAUUUAUUGGGCGUAAAGCGAGCGCAGGCGGUCAAUUAAGUCUGAUGUGAAAGCCCCCGGCUCAACCGGGGAGGGUAAUUGGAAACUUGUUGACUUGAGUGCAGAAGAGGAGGGUGGAAUUCCAUGUGUAGCGGUGAAAUGCGUAGAUAUAUGGAGGAACACCAGUGGCGAAGGCGACUCUCUGGUCUGUAACUGACGCUGAGGCUCGAAAGCGUGGGUAGCAAACAGG
rnacentral:rRNA from 1 species